UACAGAGGUCUCAAGCGUUGUUCGGAUUCAUUGGGCGUAAAGGGUGUGUAGGCGGCGCGGUAAGUCGGGUGUGAAAUCUCGGAGCUUAACUCCGAAACUGCAUUCGAUACUGCCGUGCUUGAGGACUGGAGAGGAGACUGGAAUUUACGGUGUAGCGGUGAAAUGCGUAGAUAUCGUAAGGAAGACCAGUGGCGAAGGCGGGUCUCUGGACAGUUCCUGACGCUGAGGCACGAAGGUCGGGGGAGCAAACGGG
rnacentral:rRNA from 1 species